GCGGCGGAUGGGUGAGUAACACGUGGGCAACCUGCCUGUAAGGCUGGGAUAACUCGCGGAAACGUGAGCUAAUACCGGAUGAAGUCUUUUAUCGCCUGAUAAAGGAAUGAAAGGUGGCAUAUGCUACCACUUACAGAUGGGCCCGUGGCGCAUUAGCUAGUUGGUGGGAUAAAAGCCUACCAAGGCGACGAUGCGUAGCCGACCUGAGAGGGUGAUCGGCCACACUGGGACUGAGACACGGCCCAGACUCCUACGGGAGGCAGCAGUAGGGAAUCUUCCGCAAUGGACGCAAGUCUGACGGAGCGACGCCGCGUGAGUGAUGAAGGUCUUCGGAUCGUAAAACUCUGUUGUCAGGGAAGAACAAGUGCCGUUCGAAUAGGGCGGUACCUUGACGGUACCUAACCAGAAAGCCCCGGCUAACUACGUGCCAGCAGCCGCGGUAAUACGUAGGGGGCAAGCGUUGUCCGGAAUUAUUGGGCGUAAAGCGCGCGCAGGCGGUCUCUUAAGUCUGAUGUGAAAUCUCGCA
rnacentral:rRNA from 1 species